rnacentral:lncRNA from 1 species
AGAAGAAGAGAAGAAGAAAAGUUCCUCUUUCCUUCUUAGUGAUCUGGUUUAGAUUCCGUCGGAUCAGCGUGAAUGAAUUUGCGCAGUGAUUAUCUUUUUCGAGAUCUAGAAGAAGAGAUGUAGAUUCAAAGUUGAAGAGCGAGAUCUGUAAGGUGCUAGCACAUCAAUAAUCUCGAUGCUCUGAUCAGACAUCUCCGUAAGGAUACUAGCAGAAGUCAGGCGCAUGCGCGGCAAUGAUCGAAACUCCAGACAUUUGUAGCAUCCGAAGGUAUGAAGAUCUGAUCUCUGAUUUUAUUUUGCUGAUGUUUGUUUUUCUUUUCAAAUUUUAGAUCAAGAUCUUUUGUUCGUGUCAAGAUCCUUAGCAUGAUUUUUAGAUCUGAUCUGGUAUAUGUAUUAAAUUAAAAAUAUUUUAAUUUAUUUAUUUUCACUGCAUAAAAUUUUAAAAAAAAAUUUUAAACUAUACGUACAAAAUCAUAGCGC